rnacentral:rRNA from 1 species
UACAGAGGGUGCGAGCGUUAAUCGGAAUUACUGGGCGUAAAGCGUGCGUAGACGGUUAUGUAAGUCGGAUGUGAAAGCCCCGGGCUCAACCUGGGAAUUGCAUUCGAGACUGCAUAGCUAGGAUGCGGAAGAGGGAAGUGGAAUUUCCGGUGUAGCGGUGAAAUGCGUAGAUAUCGGAAGGAACAUCAGUGGCGAAAGCGACUUCCUGGUCCAGCAUCGACGUUCAGGCACGAAAGCGUGGGGAGCGAACAGG